rnacentral:rRNA from 1 species
UGCAAGUCGAACGGUAACAGCACUUCGGUGGCUGACGAGUGGCGAACGGGUGAGUAAUACAUCGGAACGUGCCCGAGAGUGGGGGAUAACGCAGCGAAAGCUGUGCUAAUACCGCAUACGAUCUACGGAUGAAAGCAGGGGACCGCAAGGCCUUGCGCUCAUGGAGCGGCCGAUGGCAGAUUAGGUAGUUGGUGGGAUAAAAGCUUACCAAGCCGACGAUCUGUAGCUGGUCUGAGAGGACGACCAGCCACACUGGGACUGAGACACGGCCCAGACUCCUACGGGAGGCAGCAGUGGGGAAUUUUGGACAAUGGGCGAAAGCCUGAUCCAGCCAUGCCGCGUGCAGGAUGAAGGCCUUCGGGUUGUAAACUGCUUUUGUACGGAACGAAAAGGUCUUUUCUAAUAAAGAAGGCUCAUGACGGUACCGUAAGAAUAAGCACCGGCUAACUACGUGCCAGCAGCCGCGGUAAUACGUAGGGUGCAAGCGUUAAUCGGAAUUACUGGGCGUAAAGCGUGCGCAGGCGGUUAUAUAAGACAGAUGUGAAAUCCCCGGGCUCAACCUGGGAACUGCAUUAGUGACUGUAUAGCUAGAGUGCGGCAGAGGGGGAUGGAAUUCCGCGUGUAGCAGUGAAAUGCGUAGAUAUGCGGAGGAAC